rnacentral:tRNA from 1 species
GCUAAGAGCGGAAAUGGUAGCGCGCCAGACUUUUAAUCUGGAAAUCAGGUUCAAUUCUUGAUCUUAGCA